rnacentral:rRNA from 1 species
CGUAACACGUAUGCAACCUACCUUUAACCGGGACAUAACCUCGAGAAAUUGAAGCUAAUAUCCCAUGUGAUUAUAUUUUGGCAUCAAGAUAUAAUUAAAAUUCAGAUGGUUAAAGAUGGGCAUGCGUCCCAUUAGCUAGUUGGUGAGGUAACGGCUCACCAAGGCCACGAUGGGUAGGGGUUCUGAGAGGAUGAUCCCCCACACUGGUACUGAGACACGGACCAG